GCGUGAGUGAAGAAGGCCUUAGGGUUGUAAAACUCUUUCACCCGUGAAGAUGAUGACGGUAGCGGGAGAAGAAGCUCCGGCUAACUCCGUGCCAGCAGCCGCGGUAAUACGGAGGGGGCUAGCGUUGCUCGGAAUUACUGGGCGUAAAGCGCACGUAGGCGGCGUAUCAAGUUAGAUGUGAAAGGCCUGGGCUUAACCCGGGAACUGCAUUUAAGACUGAUAUGCUUGAAUCCGAGAGAGGGUAGUGGAAUUCCCAGUGUAGAGGUGAAAUUCGU
rnacentral:rRNA from 1 species